rnacentral:rRNA from 1 species
CCCUUAGAUGUUCUGGGCGGCCCGCGCACUACAUUGGCACUAGCAAAGAGGUCCUAGAUUGAAUUCUUUGGGGUAUUCUUCUAAAUGGUGUCGUGACUGGGAUAAAUCCUUGUAAUUAUUGGUUUUGAACGAGGAAUUCCUUGUAAUCGCGGUUUAUCAGCUCGCGUUGAAUGCGUCCCUGCCCUUUGUACACACCGCCCGUCGCUCCUACCGAUGGAUCGUCCGGUGAAGCUCACGGAGUGACUGUUCACGCAACGGUUUACGAAGUGAAAUGGACCUCACGAUUUAGAGGAAGGAGAAGUCGUAACA